GAAGGUUAAACGUGUUAUAGGAACACAGAUAGUAGGUGGACUUUGUCUCAGGGAUUUGCGGGAAUAAUUGCUGUUGAUUAGACUCAUCGCCAAAUUUAUGGCUGUAGAACCCCACACGACGGUACCAUCAUGCCAGCAAAAUUCUCAUCGCUGCAAGUGGCCCCAACAUAUUUUUUCAUCUGCUGCCGGCUAAAGAAUAAGAUGUGUAUUACAAUCAUGUGUAUUGCAAAGACAAACAUAUUGUAUAAAGUGAGUGAAAAAAUAAACUGCUAGAUUGAUUCA